CCCUUAGAUGUUCUGGGCCGCACGCGCGCUACACUGUUCGACGCAGCGAGUCUUAACCUUGACCGAAAGGUUUGGGUAAUCUUCAGCAAAGUCGAACGUGAUGGGGAUCGAUCAUUGCAAUUAUUGAUCGUGAACGAGGAAUUCCUAGUAAGUGCAAGUCAUCAGCUUGCGCUGAUUACGUCCCUGCCCUUUGUACACACCGCCCGUCGCUACUACCGAUUGAAUGGUUUAGUGAGAUCUCUGGAUUGACGCUGGCUAGGGAGCGACCCUUGGCCAGACUGCUCGAGAAACUGCUCAAACUUGAUCAUUUAGAGGAAGUAAAAGUCGUAACA
rnacentral:rRNA from 1 species